rnacentral:rRNA from 1 species
CAGCAGCCGCGGGAAUACGAAGGGGGCUAGCGUUGCUCGGAAUGACUGGGCGUAAAGGGCGCGUAGGCGGAAUGCUUUGUCGGGCGUGAAACUCCAGGGCUUAACCUUGGGGCUGCGUUCGAGACGGGUAUUUUAGAGUGGAGAAGAGGGUCGUGGAAUUCCCAGUGUAGAGGUGAAAUUCGUAGAUAUUGGGAAGAACACCGGCGGCGAAGGCGGCGACCUGGUCUUUUACUGACGCUGAGGCGCGAAAGCGUGGGGAGCAAACAGGAUUAGAUACCCGUGUAGUCCCUGUCUCUUAUAC